AAAAAUCAUAGCUUGGAAGGUUCAAGGUAGGACAUUAGGAAAGCUUUCUCAACUGAGAAAGUCAGGUAGCACUGGAACAUGCUACAGGGCCAGGGUUUGAUGUCUCCAUCUCAGGCAGUCCUCAAGGCUUGGCUGGAGAAAGCCAACCUAACCUAAUACCAGUGGUAGUCCUGCUUUAAGCAGGCAGCUGAACUGGAUGAGCUUGAGAGGUCCUUUCCAAUCAACAUUUUGAUAAAUUUUAAGCUGUGUGUGUUCCUUCCAGUUCUUCUCUUCAUCUGUGCUGCACUCAGGUCAAGCAGCAGCACCCAGAGGUCAUACAGGAAGGAUUAUUUCCUUGUACCUCGCAGUGUUACAGAAGUCAAGCAGUACUCCAUGUCCAGAAAACCACCACGUGCAAGUUGCUAAUCGGCAUUGGGAUGGGUCCUGAGAUCUUAAUCAGAGAUGAGACCAGAAGUGAAUGAAAGAAGCAAAUGUUUUUCUUUAGAACUCUUUUUCUGCCUAGGACUUAAAAAAAAAAA